rnacentral:rRNA from 1 species
GACGAACGCUGGCGGCGUGCCUAACACAUGCAAGUCGUGCGAGAAAGUUCCUUCGGGAGCGAGUAAAGCGGCGCACGGGUGAGUAACACGUAGGUAACCUGCCCCCCAGUCUGGAACAACUAGAGGAAACUCUAGCUAAUGCCGGAUGAGACCACGAUCCCUUCGGGGUUGCGGCCAAAGAUGGCCUCUACUUGUAAGCUAUCGCUGAGGGAUGGGCCUGCGGGCCAUUAGCUUGUUGGUGAGGUAACGGCUCACCAAGGCUGUGAUGGCUAGCUGGUCUGAGAGGAUGACCAGCCACACUGGGACUGAGACACGGCCCAGACUCCUACGGGAGCAGCAGUGGGGAAUAUUGCGCAAUGGCGAAAGCCUGACGCAGCGACGCC